rnacentral:misc_RNA from 1 species
CGAUCGUUUGCACAUGCGCUCGCAUACACCCCCAACCCCACCCCCAACACGGACACAAUAGUGCACAUACACGGCUCAGUGCUCCCAUCACCGCCGUCCUCGAUAGAAGAACAAUAAGCUGAAGCGAGAGAAGGACAGAAAGAGGUCGAGCGACGACCCCUACCCUUUCUGUCUUUCUGUGCGCAUCCGCCAUCACACUUGCCCUGCUCGAGAGUACCAUCUUGGAGUCCUUUUAGGUGCCCCACGUGCGGAGCGAGGGCGCGCUGAAGAAAGAGUAGAGAGACGAAGAAGCCGACGAUACUUCGCCGCUUAGAAGAGCGCGAGAGGGGCCUUCUCUCUGCAGACUUUAUCGGCCAUCCAAACAACCAUCACCUCUCCUCUUAAACCUCCCCGAACCGUUGCACACGUACACCUAGUGCACCUCGUCGUGCAGUUCAGUGCCCCCCUCUCCUUUUCCUCUGAGCCCUGUGCUUUCAUUUUCCUAACCCCGACUAGGCGCGCAUACUUCUUGUUCGGGUUUCCGUCUGCUGCAGCAGCUCCCGCUAUUGCUGCUCGCCGGCGCCACUGUUUGGUGGCUUAUCACUUUCCACGUUCGGGGUUGUCUGAGCCUACGCGCACUUAGCCUUGCUUUUCUCGUUCCCUAUUUUUCUGCACCCAAGCGCUGCCAUCGUUCUGUGCACCUCUCCCGCUUGGUGUUCUUUACCGUUUUUUUUCCCAUUUGGAGGGUGGGCGGGUGGGUGGGCUCCGCGCACGCAAGACGACGACCACACGACGGCCGUGCCCGGCAGCUGGCGGUUUGAUUUGCCCUUCGUUGUUGUUGCUGCUCCUGCGGCCGUCAUUGAGCAUCACGCGGAUCUUUAUUAUUUCUAUUGUACACAUUUGUUUAUCUUUUCCCUUUGUUUUUGUGUGCGUGUGGGACCCCCUUCCCCCCUUUUCGUGUGUUUGUGUGUGACACCAUUCCAGUCUCUCUCUCCCUUGGUUUCGUCUUGUUCCAGUUUUUGCUUUCACAGGCGUUGGUGUCACGGAGAGUGCGAGACGACGAAUACGACGACGCAAGGUUUUUCGCGGAGAGAGGGAAGGCGAGUAGACCAGUCAGUGCUGAAGGACGGCAGCUCCCAUCGUUUCUUAGCCAGGGUGUGUGUGUCUUCUGUUUCUGUUUCGUGAGUUCGAGCCACCAACGAGAGACGGCAGCAGGUACAGGGGGAGGUCAGAAGAAAUAGACCGCGCCACGUAGGGUGAGCACUGCAGCCGAGGCAGCGUCACUGUCGACUCACCUUCCCUCCUCUCUCGCGUUUUCUCUCUACUCGUUCAGGCUGCGCUUGAAGUUUUCUGUGCUUGUAUCCGUAUUAUUGUAUUCGAGGAGCACCGCUGGCCACAGGAUUGGCGGCAAUAGAGACAUCCGCAACGCCCCCCCCCCCCCCCCCCCACACACACACACACACACACACACGUUGAGGGUGAGGGUGGCCUACGGGGAUCGUCUCCUCAGCCCCUCCCCCUUUUUUCACGUUUCUCGCCGUUUGUUUUGUUGUUGUUUUUCUUUCUUGGGUAGUCUCGUCUCUUGUUCUUUUCGCUCACUGUACCACCCGAACACACACACACACACCGACUUUUUUCUCUCCCUCAUUCGCUUCGGCUUCUCUUGUUUUGACUUUCGCCCCUUCCUUCAACCCUAACGGACGCACCCGCCGUCUUUUGCUCGCUCCGCCUGGCGGGAACACGCACUCGUUCUUUGCUUUUACUUCACCAGCAAGCGCACCGCAAGACACGCUAGACACGCACUAGAAAAACCGACACGUCGCAAACGCGAACACGAGCAAACACAUCCAGACAGCCGAAGCGACGCACAAAUCACCAUCGCGCCGCCCACACUUCUCACCCAACCCACACACGUCCGCUUCAUUUUCUAGAGACGGUGCGUCUUCUUCUCCCUUUCUCUGAUUUUUCAUUUUUCGCUCACUCGUUGCGUAUUCCUUUCUCUGCCUUCACCGUCCUUCCUCGUGCCAGUGCCGCUUGGCUUUCUUCCCCCGUCUCACUCGAUCCCCUCCCCCUGCGCGCGCGGGAGCGUGCUCCUUCACGCGCUUCAUCUCUUGACGUACACGUGCCUUGUUGGUGUGCGUGCUGCUGCUGCUGCCGUUGUUGUUAUUACCUCCUCCGUUCCCCUCACACACACACAGAGAGAAGGUCGUGGAGCCGUCCCCCCUUUCUCUCUCCAACCCUCUUUUGUCUCGUGCGCUGCGCCCAGUCGGGUUAUUUUGCCGCCAUCUUUUAAGAAUUUUUCCAUUCCUGCCUUGUUUUUGCACCCCUUUCCCUCUCCUUCUCCCUCUCCCCUCCCCUUUGAGCGCGGCACUGGUGUAGGGCGAGGCCACGCUUGUGGCUCCACUGCGCUCAAGAGAUUGUACUGACAAUAGCCCUCCCCCUCACCAAACCCCGCCUCAUCCUCCCCCUUACCUUCGCCCCCUCGCCUCACGACGCUGCAUAGCCGUUUUCGUUACGCCCGCCUGUCUGAUCUCAUCACCUCUCUCUUUGCGUGUGUGCGUACCUCUUCCGCAGCUCUCUUCCUCUCUGUGUCUCGUGUGUGGCUCCAACACACACGCACCGCCGCAGAGCACAUCGUACUUGUGAGGGGAAGCACCCCUCCCCCGCCGAAAAAAAAAACAAAAAGAAAGGAGAGGGGAGAGCUAGAGGGUGUACGCUUACGUAGGUAUCUCUUAUCUCUCACACCUCUCUUCCUACAUCGUCUCCCGCCUAGCCUAUAUGCUCUACGCGGCAUCUACCACAGCGGCGCGGCGGCCACGGCUUGCCGAGCCACGCCCGAUGCCCACUGCCGCAUCGCCGUCGGGUGGAACACCCGCCGGCUCGCUGGGCGAGUCAGCGCCGCGCGGGGUGGGUGUUCCCUCUGAGCUGCACCACAGGGCCCACCGCAGUCGUCCUCGGCGAUCGGUGUCGCCGGUCUUGUCUAGACAAGACGUUCUGAAGGCAGUGAAAGACCGCCUUGAGCACACCGCGCAGUUUAUCUAUCCUGGCUCCGUUGUCGUUUACGAGUUCCUUAACGAUGCUCAGGAGUGGCGUUGGGCUUUGGGGACGGUGCAGCAGGUCCACACGCACACUGUCACACUAGCGGAGUGGAGCUGCCAGCAAGGCGGCGCGAACGAUGGAGUGAUGCAAGCACUGAAGAAUGAGAGGAGUCGGGUCCAGCAAGAGCUAGAAGAUCACCAGGCAAGCAUCCUCGCCCUCCGGGCAGAGCUUGGCGCCGUGCGCACACGCAACGAGGCUGACAUGAACGCCACCCGAGAGGCCAUCGAGGCGCGUCGCCGCGAGUUGGAGGCAAGAGAAGGCGCGCUUCAUGUGUGCCGUCAACGCGGCGUGCCUCUUCAAUGCACCUACAAAGACGGGUACAGCGCCGCUGACGAGAGCGACAGCGCCGACGAUGUUUUUGCGGCGGUACUGCGAGCGGCCCUGAGCAUUGUGGAAGACUACGUCCCCGCUACGCCACUUCCAUGGCCGAAGGUGUGGGCCACCGUCAGUGACCCGCUCUUCCUGCAUCGCUGUAUCGACUACGACGUCGGCUACGACAUGAGUUUACAGCAGUAUGACGAGAUUGAAGCACACUUCUUCGGCUCCGGCGCCAUCACAGAGGCGAAGGUGCACAGAGCCAUGGCCUCUAUGGAACAACGGAUGCCCGACGCCGCCGAAUUCCUCUGCACUGUCGCAAACUGGCUCUUCACGCAGCUCGCUGCCUUCCGUGUGUAUCAGCAAUGUGCCAGGACGCAGUCCCGCGCUGACAUGCUCCAGCAGCGACUCACGCAUCAUGUUAACGCGCUCAAGGCGACUGCUAGAAAACUGCGUCAAGUGCAAGCGCAGCUGCGCGUGUUCAGUGGCGCCCCGGGCACCUCGAGUAGCGCCGCACGCUCUGAGGUGCAGUUCACGUUCGUUCCUGCACAAGGGAUUGCCACGGACGUGCUUCGCUGCGCUAUUAUUUGCCCAGUGCCAUCGCACUCGCGGCGGCAUCCAGGAACGCGAGUAACGGCAGCACAGACGGCAACAGCGUCUGGCGAAUUGAAGUCACCAUACUCGACGAGCAAAGGUGCUGCGAUGAUGACCGCGACGACUUCGUCGUCAGGACAUCCAUCGUUGAAUCUCGAUGCCUUAGGCAAUCGUGAUCGCGUCGGCAGCGCGGCUGCCCCUUCUGAAUCCGCAAGGUCACCACACCACCAUAGGGAACAGGCGCGGUCGACACCUUGCCCCCCAUCACCUUCCGUCAUUCCUGUUCCAAAGGCGGCAACGGAGGUUGUCUUGCUGGGCCACGAGGAGCUCGAGGAGAUAGCUGCGCGCGCGGUGCACUCUCGGCCCGAGCUGUAUCAAGCCGUGGAUGAUCUCCUGCAAGAGUGUGGUCACCAUCAGCGGGAUGCACACCACGCACGUGCGCUGGCCUCUGAACGCGCUGAACGUCGCCGAAGACGACGCGAGACGGCAAAGUCUCAGGCUGAAGGCUUCGCAACAGAUGCACCUUGGGACGCGGCCCCUGGGCCCACUGCCGCCUCUAGUGGCCCCUCCAUCUCGGUGACGCUGCCGACCUCUCACAGCAGCCCUGUGGCAGCGGCACAAAACGUGCCGACUAUGUUGUUUCUCCCCGGAUCAAAGGACGCAGCGAGCCAGAGCGACGAUGAGGAUGAGGUGUACGAAGAAGAGGCCGACGCACGCGCGUUUCAAUCCGCUCUGCUGGUCCUUCAACAACAGCUACAGGAGGCGCGUGGCGAGAAUGAGCAACUACAGCGGCUGCUGGUGCGCGAGACGGAUCGACACGAAGCCGUAGAGGCUGAGCUGCAGCGGCAACUGCGGGACGCUCGCGCCGAUCAUGAAGACGCGCAAAACCGACUAGCUGGCGCUAAAAUACGCGCAGAGGCUUUGCAGGUUGAGUGCGAAGACCUUGAUCGCGACAGGGAUCACGCAACAAGCCGCAUCAGUGCCCUGGAGAACGAGAUACGAGCUCUUGAGUCGAAGAUUUGUAGCGGUGCCUCCGCUGCCCCAGCUUCACCAAACAUGACCUCCAUUAAGGCCGAUAAAGGAACCACGGAGGAGGACAGCCGCGUUGCUCAACUAGAAGCCGAGCUGGCAUGGCUACGCAGCAGCAGAGAGCGAUGGAUGCCACAUCGCUCGGACCACUCUGAUCCCGCUGACGACUUUGCCACCACGCACCACCACAAGCGCCUCAACGGUAGCGGCUGGAAUGAUGCUCUGCAACGACAUCCUGCCGAGCUUCGCCGUGCUGCAACCACCGACGCGGCAGCGGCCUGCCACGUGGUGGCAGCUGCUGUUACGGGGGUGCACUUCUCGGAUAACGGGAGUCGAGUCGAGUUCUACGUGGAUCAUCCAAGCCACGUGACCAAGCGUCAGCUUGAUGAUCGCCUCCACGACACGCCAUUCUACGAGUGCGAGUACAUACUCCGCCACUGCUCCAGUCCAAAGACCGGCGAGGACCUUCUAUCGCAGCAGCUGGCGGACAGAAACGCUACCAUCACGGACCUAGAAACACGCCUUGCCAAAAGGUCAUCGACGCCUGUUCCGCAUCAACCUUCAACUGCGGAGCUCACUCAGCAGGAAGACCUCCUCCAUCUCCAGAAACAGCUGCGCAGAGCUGCGGAGGAGAUUGAAGAGCUGAACUUUUACGAUCAGCGCCGGAAGAAGAGUGGCAAUGGUGAGGCUGUCGUGACAGUGCAUUCAGUGAGGUUGCCAGGAGAGGACUGGAGUGUCGUCGUACAGGAGCACCCUGAGGCGCUUCGCGAGGCUUUCAUCGCAGAUGUGAGCCACGCAUGUCACGUCACCCGCGGCGAUGUGGAGCACAUAGCGUUUGGGAUGGGGAGCCUUUUGGCGACGGUGAGAGUACAGCACGACGCUGAUGCCACCAUGAUGGAGAUGGACCGCCGCUUGCAGGAGUACGACUACCCCUUGACGAUGGAGCUGUACCGGUUGCGCCACGGACCAAAACGCGGAGCCGAUGCGGCGCUUGCGACCCUCGCCAAGCGAGACACGGAGCUCGCUGACCUGAGGGAGCAGCUGCGUGAGGCGGAGGAGCGCGCGAGGGACGUGGAGGCGCAGCAGUGCGACAGGGACGCCGAGGUGGCUGACCUGAGGGAGCAGCUGCGUGAGGCGGAGGAGCGCGCGAGGGACGUGGAGGCGCAGCAGUGCGACAAGGACGCCGAGCUGGAGCGUGUGAGGGAGCUGCUCAGCAGCUCGAUGAGAGAGGCUGAAUGUAGUGGGGAGGUUCGCGGCGCGCUCGAGGAUCAACUAGAGGAUGCUGCAAGGGAGAUCCGGGAACUCCGAGAGCAGUUGGCCGUCGCGCAGGUUCGUCGAGAGGCGCUGGAUGCCGAGCUCGCUGACCUGAGGGAGCAGCUGCGUGAGGCGGAGGAGCGCGCGAGGGACGUGGAGGCGCAGCAGUGCGACAGGGACGCCGAGGUGACUGACCUGAGGGAGCAGCUGCGUGAGGCGGAGGAGCGCGCGAGGGACGUGGAGGCGCGCAGGGGGGACGGGGGGGGGGGGGGGGGGGGGGGGGGGGGGGGACGUGGAGGCGCAGCAGUGCGACAGGGACGCCGAGGUGGCUGACCUGAGGGAGCAGCUGCGUGAGGCGGAGGAGCGCGCGAGGGACGUGGAGGCGCAGCAGUGCGACAGGGACGCCGAGGUGGCUGACCUGAGGGAGCAGCUGCGUGAGGCGGAGGAGCGCGCGAGGGGGGGGGGGGGGGGGGGGGGGGGGGGGGGGGGGGGGGGGGGAGGCUGCGUGAGGCGGAGGAGCGCGCGAGGGACGUGGAGGCGCAGCAGUGCGACAGGGACGCCGAGGUGGCUGACCUGAGGGAGCAGCUGCGUGAGGCGGAGGAGCGCGCGAGGGACGUGGAGGCGCAGCAGUGCGACAGGGACGCCGAGGUGGCUGACCUGAGGGAGCAGCUGCGUGAGGCGGAGGAGCGCGCGAGGGACGUGGAGGCGCAGCAGUGCGACAGGGACGCCGAGGUGGCUGACCUGAGGGAGCAGCUGCGUGAGGCGGAGGAGCGCGCGAGGGACGUGGAGGCGCAGCAGUGCGACAGGGACGCCGAGGUGGCUGACCUGAGGGAGCAGCUGCGUGAGGCGGAGGAGCGCGCGAGGGACGUGGAGGCGCAGCAGUGCGACAGGGACGCCGAGGUGGCUGACCUGAGGGAGCAGCUGCGUGAGGCGGAGGAGCGCGCGAGGGACGUGGAGGCGCAGCAGUGCGACAGGGACGCCGAGGUGGCUGACCUGAGGGAGCAGCUGCGUGAGGCGGAGGAGCGCGCGAGGGGGGGGGGGGGGGGGGGGGAGGGGAGGCUGCGUGAGGCGGAGGAGCGCGCGAGGGACGUGGAGGCGCAGCAGUGCGACAGGGACGCCGAGGUGGCUGACCUGAGGGAGCAGCUGCGUGAGGCGGAGGAGCGCGCGAGGGACGUGGAGGCGCAGCAGUGCGACAGGGACGCCGAGGUGGCUGACCUGAGGGAGCAGCUGCGUGAGGCGGAGGAGCGCGCGAGGGACGUGGAGGCGCAGCAGUGCGACAGGGACGCCGAGGUGGCUGACCUGAGGGAGCAGCUGCGUGAGGCGGAGGAGCGCGCGAGGGACGUGGAGGCGCAGCAGUGCGACAGGGACGCCGAGGUGGCUGACCUGAGGGAGCAGCUGCGUGAGGCGGAGGAGCGCGCGAGGGACGUGGAGGCGCAGCAGUGCGACAAGGACGCCGAGCUGGAGCGUGUGAGGGAGCUGCUCAGCAGCUCGAUGAGAGAGGCUGAAUGUAGUGGGGAGGUUCGCGGCGCGCUCGAGGAUCAACUAGAGGAUGCUGCAAGGGAGAUCCGGGAACUCCGAGAGCAGUUGGCCGUCGCGCAGGUUCGUCGAGAGGCGCUGGAUGCCGAGCUCGCUGACCUGAGGGAGCAGCUGCGUGAGGCGGAGGAGCGCGCGAGGGACGUGGAGGCGCAGCAGUGCGACAGGGACGCCGAGGUGGCUGACCUGAGGGAGCAGCUGCGUGAGGCGGAGGAGCGCGCGAGGGACGUGGAGGCGCAGCAGUGCGACAGGGACGCCGAGGUGGCUGACCUGAGGGAGCAGCUGCGUGAGGCGGAGGAGCGCGCGAGGGACGUGGAGGCGCAGCAGUGCGACAGGGACGCCGAGGUGACUGACCUGAGGGAGCAGCUGCGUGAGGCGGAGGAGCGCGCGAGGGACGUGGAGGCGCAGCAGUGCGACAGGGACGCCGAGGUGGCUGACCUGAGGGAGCAGCUGCGUGAGGCGGAGGAGCGCGCGAGGGACGUGGAGGCGCAGCAGUGCGACAGGGACGCCGAGCUCGCUGACCUGAGGGAGCAGCUGCGUGAGGCGGAGGAGCGCGCGAGGGACGUGGAGGCGCAGCAGUGCGACAGGGACGCCGAGGUGGCUGACCUGAGGGAGCAGCUGCGUGAGGCGGAGGAGCGCGCGAGGGACGUGGAGGCGCAGCAGUGCGACAGGGACGCCGAGGUGGCUGACCUGAGGGAGCAGCUGCGUGAGGCGGAGGAGCGCGCGAGGGACGUGGAGGCGCAGCAGUGCGACAGGGACGCCGAGGUGGCUGACCUGAGGGAGCAGCUGCGUGAGGCGGAGGAGCGCGCGAGGGACGUGGAGGCGCAGCAGUGCGACAAGGACGCCGAGCUGGAGCGUGUGAGGGAGCUGCUCAGCAGCUCGAUGAGAGAGGCUGAAUGUAGUGGGGAGGUUCGCGGCGCGCUCGAGGAUCAACUAGAGGAUGCUGCAAGGGAGAUCCGGGAACUCCGAGAGCAGUUGGCCGUCGCGCAGGUUCGUCGAGAGGCGCUGGAUGCCGAGCUCGCUGACCUGAGGGAGCAGCUGCGUGAGGCGGAGGAGCGCGCGAGGGACGUGGAGGCGCAGCAGUGCGACAGGGACGCCGAGGUGGCUGACCUGAGGGAGCAGCUGCGUGAGGCGGAGGAGCGCGCGAGGGACGUGGAGGCGCAGCAGUGCGACAAGGACGCCGAGCUGGAGCGUGUGAGGGAGCUGCUCAGCAGCUCGAUGAGAGAGGCUGAAUGUAGUGGGGAGGUUCGCGGCGCGCUCGAGGAUCAACUAGAGGAUGCUGCAAGGGAGAUCCGGGAACUCCGAGAGCAGUUGGCCGUCGCGCAGGUUCGUCGAGAGGCGCUGGAUGCCGAGCUCGCUGACCUGAGGGAGCAGCUGCGUGAGGCGGAGGAGCGCGCGAGGGACGUGGAGGCGCAGCAGUGCGACAGGGACGCCGAGGUGGCUGACCUGAGGGAGCAGCUGCGUGAGGCGGAGGAGCGCGCGAGGGACGUGGAGGCGCAGCAGUGCGACAGGGACGCCGAGGUGGCUGACCUGAGGGAGCAGCUGCGUGAGGCGGAGGAGCGCACGAGGGACGUGGAGGCGCAGCAGUGCGACAGGGACGCCGAGGUGGCUGACCUGAGGGAGCAGCUGCGUGAGGCGGAGGAGCGCGCGAGGGACGUGGAGGCGCAGCAGUGCGACAGGGACGCCGAGGUGGCUGACCUGAGGGAGCAGCUGCGUGAGGCGGAGGAGCGCGCGAGGGACGUGGAGGCGCAGCAGUGCGACAGGGACGCCGAGGUGGCUGACCUGAGGGAGCAGCUGCGUGAGGCGGAGGAGCGCCGAGGGUGGGGGCGCGUGGACGGGGGGGGGCUGAGGGAGCAGCUGCGUGAGGCGGAGGAGCGCACGAGGGACGUGGAAGCGCAGCAGUGCGACAGGGACGCCGAGGUGGCUGACCUGAGGGAGCAGCUGCGUGAGGCGGAGGAGCGCACGAGGGACGUGGAGGCGCAGCAGUGCGACAGGGACGCCGAGCUCGCUGACCUGAGGGAGCAGCUGCGUGAGGCGGAGGAGCGCGCGAGGGACGUGGAGGCGCAGCAGUGCGACAGGGACGCCGAGGUGGCUGACCUGAGGGAGCAGCUGCGUGAGGCGGAGGAGCGCGCGAGGGACGUGGAAGCGCAGCAGUGCGACAGGGACGCCGAGGUGGCUGACCUGAGGGAGCAGCUGCGUGAGGCGGAGGAGCGCACGAGGGACGUGGAGGCGCAGCAGUGCGACAGGGACGCCGAGCUCGCUGACCUGAGGGAGCAGCUGCGUGAGGCGGAGGAGCGCGCGAGGGACGUGGAGGCGCAGCAGUGCGACAGGGACGCCGAGGUGGCUGACCUGAGGGAGCAGCUGCGUGAGGCGGAGGAGCGCACGAGGGACGUGGAGGCGCAGCAGUGCGACAGGGACGCCGAGGUGGCUGACCUGAGGGAGCAGCUGCGUGAGGCGGAGGAGCGCGCGAGGGACGUGGAGGCGCAGCAGUGCGACAGGGACGCCGAGGUGGCUGACCUGAGGGAGCAGCUGCGUGAGGCGGAGGAGCGCACGAGGGACGUGGAGGCGCAGCAGUGCGACAGGGACGCCGAGGUGGCUGACCUGAGGGAGCAGCUGCGUGAGGCGGAGGAGCGCACGAGGGACGUGGAGGCGCAGCAGUGCGACAGGGACGCCGAGGUGGCUGACCUGAGGGAGCAGCUGCGUGAGGCGGAGGAGCGCGCGAGGGACGUGGAGGCGCAGCAGUGCGACAGGGACGCCGAGCUCGCUGACCUGAGGGAGCAGCUGCGUGAGGCGGAGGAGCGCGCGAGGGACGUGGAGGCGCAGCAGUGCGACAGGGACGCCGAGGUGGCUGACCUGAGGGAGCAGCUGCGUGAGGCGGAGGAGCGCACGAGGGACGUGGAGGCGCAGCAGUGCGACAGGGACGCCGAGGUGGCUGACCUGAGGGAGCAGCUGCGUGAGGCGGAGGAGCGCACGAGGGACGUGGAGGCGCAGCAGUGCGACAGGGACGCCGAGGUGGCUGACCUGAGGGAGCAGCUGCGUGAGGCGGAGGAGCGCACGAGGGACGUGGAGGCGCAGCAGUGCGACAGGGACGCCGAGGUGGCUGACCUGAGGGAGCAGCUGCGUGAGGCGGAGGAGCGCGCGAGGGACGUGGAGGCGCAGCAGUGCGACAGGGACGCCGAGGUGGCUGACCUGAGGGAGCAGCUGCGUGAGGCGGAGGAGCGCGCGAGGGACGUGGAGGCGCAGCAGUGCGACAGGGACGCCGAGGUGGCUGACCUGAGGGAGCAGCUGCGUGAGGCGGAGGAGCGCGCGAGGGACGUGGAGGCGCAGCAGUGCGACAGGGACGCCGAGGUGGCUGACCUGAGGGAGCAGCUGCGUGAGGCGGAGGAGCGCGCGAGGGACGUGGAGGCGCAGCAGUGCGACAAGGACGCCGAGCUGGAGCGUGUGAGGGAGCUGCUCAGCAGCUCGAUGAGAGAGGCUGAAUGUAGUGGGGAGGUUCGCGGCGCGCUCGAGGAUCAACUAGAGGAUGCUGCAAGGGAGAUCCGGGAACUCCGAGAGCAGUUGGCCGUCGCGCAGGUUCGUCGAGAGGCGCUGGAUGCCGAGCUCGCUGACCUGAGGGAGCAGCUGCGUGAGGCGGAGGAGCGCGCGAGGGACGUGGAGGCGCAGCAGUGCGACAGGGACGCCGAGGUGGCUGACCUGAGGGAGCAGCUGCGUGAGGCGGAGGAGCGCGCGAGGGACGUGGAGGCGCAGCAGUGCGACAGGGACGCUGAGAUGGAGCGUGUGAAGGAGCUGCUGAGCGGAGCGAUGCGAGAGGCGGCAGCCAGUAGCGAAAUUUGUAGGUUGCUUGAGAAGCAAGUGGAGGAAGCGACGAGGGACGUUGGUUUGCUGAGGGAGCAGUUGGCCGUGGCGCAGGUUCGACGAGAGGCGCUGGGUGACGAGUGCGCUGAGCUGCAGCAGCAACUCCUCGAUGUGGAGAGUGUUCGGGAAGCGAGUGUAUGGAAGGGUCGGGAGGCGUUGGAAGACCUUGCGAUUAAGCACUCUGGCAAGGACGCUGAGAUAGCUGAGCUGACUGAGCAGCUGCGCAGAGCUGCGGAGGAGAUUGAAGAGCUGAAGUUUUACGAUCAGCGCCGGAAGAAGAGUGGCAAUGGUGAGGCUGUCGUGACAGUGCAUUCAGUGAGGUUGCCAGGAGAGGACUGGAGUGUCGUCGUACAGGAGCACCCUGAGGCGCUUCGCGAGGCUUUCAUCGCAGAUGUGAGCCACGCAUGUCACGUCACCCGCGGCGAUGUGGAGCACAUAGCGUUUGGGAUGGGGAGCCUUUUGGCGACGGUGAGAGUACAGCACGACGCUGAUGCCACCAUGAUGGAGAUGGACCGCCGCUUGCAGGAGUACGACUACCCCUUGACGAUGGAGCUGUACCGGUUGCGCCACGGACCAAAACGCGGAGCCGAUGCGGCGCUUGCGACCCUCGCCAAGCGAGACACGGAGCUCGCUGAGUUACAUCGCCGACUGUGCGAUUUGGAGGAGGAGACUUCUGCUUCGCGACGGCGUUGUGGAGUGCUUGUCGGAGCGAUGCAGAGGUGCGAGUCAGUUGGUGACAGUGAUUUGGUGAGGAGCGAUGCGGGGGGCUUAAGUGAUGCGCGUGAAGGUGUCGCGCUGUCGGUGGCGGCAGAUGUUCCCCAUGUGGAAGGUGUGAUCCUAGUGAUCACGUCAGAGGAAUCGCAGAGGGCGGAGCUGUGGCGCCGAAUGUUGGAGGAAGCGCUGUGCUUGUCGGAGACGUGGACAGGGCUUCUCGUUGUUUCGUACGAGGAGCGUUUAAGAGCUGUAGAGCAGGAUCAUGAGCUUACUUCAAUGGAGUGUACCGACAUGCUGGAGAGGCUGGAGGAGUUCGUGAACUUGCUGGAGGCGGCCCGGGCGGCAGAGAGGGCUGCUGUAGACUCUCGCGACGACUGCGAGCGCGAGCUGCGUGCACUUCAGGAUCGAUAUGAUCGUGAGGUGGCCGCGAACCAGCGACUUUUUAUGCAGCGCGAGGGAAGAGCGGCUGACAGGGUAUCAGGUACCCCUUCGUGGGCUGCACAUGAUGAAGACAGCGGUGCGCAGCGUGGCAGUAGUAUUGACGACAGUCUGAGCGAGCCUGACCACGGCGAUGAUGGCGGCGGUCGUUCUCAGCCCGUGUCGCGUACUGCCCGGGACACCACCUCCGAAGGGUUGAGGGAGCAGUUGGAGCAACUCAAGCGCGAAAAGGAGGCACUUAUGGAGGAGCUAGAAGCGAAGGGUAUGCGCUACCGCGAUGCGCUGGCGCUGCUGAAUGAACACAUCAGUCAGCUCAUGGAAGAGCUCAGCUUGCAUCUGCGCGAUGGUGUGACGUCGGCCAACAAUGCCCGCGCGCUGCUACUUGAGAUUGCCGAGCUGCGGGCGGCACAGGAGCGGACCGGCGCUUUGGCCAAAGGCGGCAACGCGAAUCGCAGCAGCGGUGAGCCCUCCGUAGGUGGCCGUGGAUCUGCUCUCUGGGGUGGCGGUAGCAGCGGCGCCUUCGCACCUCUUCGUUAGCAUUCAAACUCUAUCGACGUUCUCAUUUUCUUUGGAUCGAUAUAGGCGAACACGCAUGUGUGUGCGUGGGCACCGACACGUGCCCACGCUGGUCAAUAGUUUUUUUGCUCUCCUUUCUUGGCGGGAGGUUGUCGGACCGCGGUACUUGUCGCUGUGCUGGUCUCCACGCUGGAGCGUGAGGAGGACGCUUGCCCGUCCGAUUACCUGCCACCCGCUCAGACAUUCUCUUCAGCUGUCUUGCCCACCCCCCUUCGCCCCUUCCUCCUUUUUCCGCUCCUUGCAUGAGCCUGCUUGCGUCUGCGUUGGGUUCUGCCGAUCACCUGCAAGCGCACACUGCUAUGAGCGCAGUGAUGAAUGGAAAACAUUAGCUCUUGGCGGACUUGAGCGUGCGCGAUGCUGAGAGUGUGUGGCGGGUGCGAGGGUUCUUCAUCUUCCUUUCUCUCUGCGAUUGCCU